CCCAACCCAACCCGAAACCAAUUUAUUAACAUAUACAUAGUGUAGGGUUUCCAAAAACAAACUAGUUUCCAAUUCUUCAACUUGUGUCCGCCUCCUUCCACCAUGGUGCUCCCUUUCUCAAAUAUGAGGUUCAUCCAGAUGAUGUAUUGGGUGAUCAAUCCUUUGCCUGCUUUUGGUUGAUUUUCCUGUUUUCAGCUUAUUGAACUAUAUUUUCCAGUAGAUGGGAAAUUUUGAAUGUUUUUGUGCAGCUAAGAGGGAUCUAGUCUUCUGAAUUGAGCUGUAACAGCCGAAUAUAGAAGGGAUGAAGAAAAAUGAGUUGCUUGGACCUAUAAUUGUUUGUCUAUCUACCUCUAUCUCAGGUUUAUGAUGCUCCAUCUGACCUAUCGACCAUUCCAUGGUGCUGAGAAUCCUUUUUGUUGGAUGUAAUAGCUUAGGAAUAGUACAUGCACUAUUUUUGAUGCUACUAAAUUCUGUAUAUAAGUUUUAUGUAAACUAUUCAGCUUGAGUGUCCACCUACUCUUUAUCUUUUGGCUUGUAUGAUCCUCAAGUAUGGACUCUGCCAUUUGUCACUAUUUAAAAUGACUUUACCUCUUUCCUAUAAAUGCUGGUAAUUUGUAAUGGUAAAAGCUCCUGUAUCUAUGGCUAAGUUUGCUAGAUAAUCUGCCAAUUGGUUACCUUCCCUAAAGAUAUACUGAUAUUGUACUUGCUUAUUUUGCAUGAAUUUGUGAAUUUGUUUGACUGUGUGUGUUAUUUUCCAUGGGCAAUUCCAUUCACCUAUUA